UUAUAAGCCUUUGUACAUCUAUUUAAUCUACUUGUUCUUAACAAUUACAUUUAGAUUACCCACAAAACUUUAUGAGCCAUUGGACAAAGUCAACCAUUACUCUGGGGUUUUUUGGACAAAUUUUCCAGCAGAAAUGACAGACUUAUUUGACUUUCAGUGAAUACAGGCAGACUAUAAGUUUUAUAUUUAAUGCUGUUAACUCUAAAAAUGUGUAUUUUAAUUUAAUCAACAACCUUAAAUUAGCAUUCAUAUUGAAUACUUCCCCAGAUUAUGUGAAAGUGAAAAACAUUUGGGUUAGUUUUUGUCAUUCUGAGUUUUAUAUGCCUAAUCUUACAAGCUCUUGCCUUCAAACUGGCUACAUACAUCCCUUUUACAAGUUAAUUUUAGCAAUACUGUUGGGAGUUAGUUGGACAGGUAGGUAGUCAGGGCCAGAGUCCCCAGCAAGAAAAUAUGGAGUCAGGACAGCUAAGAUAAAACACUAACAUCUCAUUUUACAGCUUAGACAGGACCACACUAGCAUUCUGCUUUGCAGCUUUUGCAGAAAUGACUUCAGCAAAACGUCCUAAAAUAAGGCAAUUAACCACAAAGCAUUUGUCUCUAUUACAGGCAAGAGGCAAUUAAGACAUAAGCCUCCAGAUGUGAGCAAAAAGGACCAUCAGCUCAGAGACAUUAACCUAAUAGGUAGACAGAUAUGUGGCCAAAGCCCUGAUUGCUUAAGAAAGUUCUGCAAGGAGCACCUGGGUGGCUCAGUGGGUUAAGCCUCUGCCUUCGGCUCAGGUCAUGACCUCAGGGUCCUGGGAUCGAGCAUUGGGCUCUCUGCCCAGCAGGCGCCUGCUUCCCCCUCGCUCUCUGCCUGCCUCUCUGCCUACUUGUGAUCUCUCUCUGUCAAAUAAAUAAAUAAGAUCUUAAAAAAGAGAGAGAAAGUUCUGCAAAAGAAUUCAUAAAAAUCCUUAACCUUAGAAACUCUGAGGGCAACCCUUUUGGGCCCACUUCUCCGGUUGCUUUAUACUCUUGUUCAACAAACGUUGCUUUGCUGCCCACCACUCUGCAUCUGGUCUACCUCUUCAUUCUUCGAAGCAGUGUGACCCAGAACCACAGGCACUAAGGGGACAAAAAUCAUAUAAUAUUUACAUGAACAACCUAUAUACUUUUUUAAAAGACUAUUUAUUUAUUUGACAGAGAGAAACACAGCGAGAGAGGGAACACAAGCAGGGGAAGUAGGAGAGGGAGAAGCAGGCUUCCAGCGGAAAGGGGAGGCCAAUGCAGGGCUGGAUCCCAGGACGCUGGGAUCGUGACCCGGGGCCAAAGGUAGAUGCUUAACAACUGAGCCACCCAGGAACCCAACCUGUAUACUUUGAGCCUAUGGAUUAGGCUGGAGUGCUCCCCGUAAGUCUUGUAGGGAAAGGGAAGUUACAACAGGCAGGUGAAGCUGGGUUUUAAGAAGGGGCCUUUACAGGGCACCUGGGUGGCUCAGUGGAUUAAAGCCUCUGCCUGCAGCUUGGGUCAUGAUCCCAGGGUCCUGGGAUUGAGCCCCUCAUUGGGCUCUCUGCUCUGUGGGGGGCCUGCUUCCUCUCUCUCUCUCUCUCUCUCUCUUACUGACUACUUGUGAUCUCUGUCAAAUAAAUAAAUAAAAUCUUAAAAAAAAAAGGGGGAAUUUACUUUGGAUGUGGAUUUAUUUUUUUCUAUUUUUUAAAAAAGAUUUUAUUUAUUUAUUUGAGAGAGCUAGAGAGAGAGCACAGGUAGAGCAGCAGGCAGAGGGAGAGGGAGAGGCAGGCUCCCUGCUGAGCAGGGAGCCCGAUUCGGGGCUUGAGCCCAGGACCCUGGGAUGAUAACCUGAGCCGAAGGCAGCUGCUUAACGGACUGAGCCACCCAGGUGCCCCUAGACAUUUAUUUUUAAGUCAUAAGUCUAAUUUCUGUUGUUUCAUCUUGUCAAGGAGAUCCCUAAGGCUAGCCACUAUAAUAAUAAGACAGUUGAGAGCUGUCUAUUAAAAAAAUGUUCUUUUUUUUUUAAGAUUUUAUUUAUUUGACAGAGAGAGACAGCGAGAGAGGUAACACAAGCAGGGGGAGUGGGAGAGGGAGAGGCAGGCUUCCUGCUGAGCAGGGGGCUCCAUCCCAGGACCCUGGAAUCAUGACCUAAGCUAAAGGCAGACGCUUGACAACUGAGCCACCUAGGCACCCCUAAAAAAUGUUUUUAAUAUAACCAAUUUAAAGGCUCCAUCCUUCAGCCAUUGAUGAGUAGGAUGUAUUAAUAAACCAAUAAGCCUUAACAGUUUAACUGGAGAUACAAGGCAUCCAAAGAGGGGUUAGAUGACACAGCAUCCGUGAUUCAAAAGUUAACUUCUAGAAUUCAUCUGAGAAAGCAAAGGCCUUUCUUGCAUAUGAGGGAAGGAUGCUGUAGGGGAAACAGUCUCUGGUCCUCACAAAAUCGUGAGAUGCCUUCAGUUAGAGACCUGGUCAUCUGUGACAUGGGGCAGGUGUUACUGGAAUGGGACUUUCCAGCACUGACAAGCAAGGAAGGUUGAGAUGACAGGGUUUCCUCUGGGCGGGAACCUCUUAUGACAAACUUCCCACGGCCGGACAGAGAGAGCGAGCCUUGGAUCUCCGUGUAUUUGACUGGCCACCCACUGCACUCAAGAAAGUGCACCCUCUGAAUGGUGGAGACCAAGAGAAUAUUCUCACUGCUCACAAAGCAAGGCUCUUAAAAGAGGACUUAAACUACCUCCAUUUGACCUCAAACUUUCUAAUUGAUUAAGUUCUUCUUUCCUGUUUUAUCUCUUAACUCAGGCAAAAGACCUUGUGGGCAAAGCACUCCUGUUGGGAACCAAAACUACUUCAAGCAAGAAGGACUGUCCUGAGCCAGCAAGACCCUGCCCGUGCUUGACUUACAGGACAAUGAUCCACUUGACCUUCACUGCCCGCCUGCAGGGUGAGACCCUGACCAGGAUGGAAGUCCAGAGGAGUGAGCCUGGUCAUUUUUGGACGUGUUCACCUUAUGGACAUUAGCCGAUCCUGAAGAGACAAUUGAAAGGUAUCAGGGCCUCUCUGAGUGUGAGCUUACCAUCUGGCUACCCGGCAAGAUACUACAUUUCCCAGUCUCCCAUGAAGGUGACAGCCUGCCCAGUCUCCUGCUCUAUGCUGGGAAGUAUCCUAGGCAUUGAACCGCAGAGGUUAAUAAAACAGAGCCCCUGCUCCAAGGGCUCGUAGGCUAGCGGGCAAGAGAGAAACAUAAACAAUUUUACUUGCUCAUUUGCCAGAGAAAGAGAGAGCACAAGCAAGGGAGCUGCAUGCAGAGGGAGAGGGAGAAGCAGGCUCUUUGCUGAGCACAGAGCCUGACAUGGGGCUCGAUCCCAGGACCCUGGGAUCAUGACCUGAGCUGAAGGCAGAUGCUUAACCGACUGAGCCACGCAGGAGCCCCUUCUUAGCUUUUCUUAAGGUGAGUUCAGGAAAUCUUUUAAGUUUUAUUUUAAAAUUGAAAUGGUGUAAAAUAUUUUUCCAUGAAACUCAACUGCAUUGUUUAAGUAGGACUGCAUUUCACUUUAACUGUUACAGCUCAUAGACAUUGCCGUACUGUAGGCCUGUGCUGAGUACCUGAGUCAUCUCCAGUAUGACACAAAAACACAUCAUCACUCUAGUUAGU